rnacentral:rRNA from 1 species
UGAGGAAUAUUGGACAAUGGGCGCAAGCCUGAUCCAGCAAUGCCGCGUGCAGGAUGAAGGCCUUCGGGUUGUAAACUGCUUUUGUACGGAGCGAAAAGGUCUGCCCUAAUACGGUGGGCUCAUGACGGUACCGUAAGAAUAAGCACCGGCUAACUACGUGCCAGCAGCCGCGGUAAUACGUAGGGUGCGAGCGUUAAUCGGAAUUACUGGGCGUAAAGCGUGCGCAGGCGGUUAUAUAAGACAGAUGUGAAAUCCCCGGGCUCAACCUGGGACCUGCAUUUGUGACUGUAUAGCUAGAGUACGGUAGAGGGGGAUGGAAUUCCGCGUGUAGCAGUGAAAUGCGUAGAUAUGCGGAGGAACACCGAUGGCGAAGGCAACCCCCUGGACCUGUACUGACGCUCAUGCACGAAAGCGUGGGGAGCAAACA